rnacentral:rRNA from 1 species
AUUGAACGCUGGCGGCAUGCCUUACACAUGCAAGUCGAACGGUAACAGGUUAAGCUGCCGAGUGGCGAACGGGUGAGUAAUGUAUCGGAACGUGCCCAGUCGUGGGGGAUAACUGCUCGAAAGAGCAGCUAAUACCGCAUACGACCUGAGGGUGAAAGCGGGGGAUCGCAAGACCUCGCGCGAUUGGAGCGGCCGAUAUCAGAUUAGGUAGUUUGUGAGGUAAAGGCUCACCAAGCCGACGAUCUGUAGCUGGUCUGAGAGGACGACCAGCCACACUGGGACUGAGACACGGCCCAGACUCCUACGGGAGGCAGCAGUGGGGAAUUUUGGACAAUGGGCGCAAGCCUGAUCCAGCCAUGCCGCGUGCGGGAAGAAGGCCUUCGGGUUGUAAACCGCUUUUGUCAGGGAAGAAAAGGUUCUGGCUAAUACCUGGGACUCAUGACGGUACCUGAAGAAUAAGCACCGGCUAACUACGUG